ensembl:snRNA U5 U5 spliceosomal RNA
ACGCUCUUGUUUCUCUUCAGAUCGUACAAAUCUUUCGCCUUUUACUAAAGAUUUCCGUGGAGAGGAACAGCAAGAGUUUGUCUCAAUUUUUUGACGUCCUGCUCAAAGCGGGGCU